AGAGUUUGAUCCUGGCUCAGGAUGAACGCUAGCGACAGGCUUAACACAUGCAAGUCGAGGGGCAGCGAGGGAGUGGCAACACUUCUGUCGGCGACCGGCGCACGGGUGAGUAACGCGUAUGCAACCUGCCCUUCACAGGGGGAUAACCGGGAGAAAUUCCGACUAAUACCGCAUACGUCCUCCGGGGGCAUCCCCGGGGGAUGAAAGAAUUAUCGGUGAAGGAUGGGCAUGCGUGAUAUUAGGUAGUUGGCGGGGCAACGGCCCACCAAGCCCACGAUAUCUAGGGGUUCUGAGAGGAAGGUCCCCCACAUUGGUACUGAGACACGGACCAAACUCCUACGGGAGGCAGCAGUGAGGAAUAUUGGUCAAUGGACGAGAGUCUGAACCAGCCAAGUCGCGUGAAGGAAGACGGAUCUAUGGUUUGUAAACUUCUUUAGUGCGGGAACAAAGCGGCGUCGUGACGCCGGAUGAGUGUACCGCAAGAAUAAGCAUCGGCUAACUCCGUGCCAGCAGCCGCGGUAAUACGGAGGAUGCGAGCGUUAUCCGGAUUUAUUGGGUUUAAAGGGAGCGCAGGCUGCGAGGCAAGUCAGCGGUCAAAUGUCGGGGCUCAACCCCGGCCUGCCGUUGAAACUGUCCUGCUAGAGUUCGAGUGAGGUAUGCGGAAUGCGUUGUGUAGCGGUGAAAUGCAUAGAUAUGACGCAGAACUCCGAUUGCGAAGGCAGCAUACCAACUCGCGACUGACGCUGAGGCUCGAAAGCGUGGGUAUCGAACAGGAUUAGAUACCCUGGUAGUCCACGCAGUAAACGAUGAAUACUAACUGUUCGGAGGGCGACCUCUGAGUGGUAAAGCGAAAGCGUUAAGUAUUCCACCUGGGGAGUACGCCGGCAACGGUGAAACUCAAAGGAAUUGACGGGGGCCCG
rnacentral:rRNA from 1 species